UGGCUCAGUUGGUAGAGAACAAGGCUCUUAACCUUGUGGACGUGGAUUCAAGCCCCAU
rfam:Triticum aestivum genome assembly, contig: Triticum_aestivum_CS42_TGACv1_scaffold_220641_3B